AACGUAGGAGACAAACGUUAUCCGGAGUUACUGGGCGUAAAGGGCGCGUAGGCGGCCUGGCAAGUGGAAGGUGAAAUCCCUCGGCUUAACCGAGGAACUGCCCUCCAAACUGCUUGGCUUGAGUCCGGGAGAGGUGAGUGGAAUUCCCAGUGUAGCGGUGAAAUGCGUAGAUAUUGGGAGGAACACCAGUGGCGAAGGCGGCUCACUGGACCGGAACUGACGCUGAGGCGCGAAAGCGUGGGGAGCGAACAGG
rnacentral:rRNA from 1 species